rnacentral:rRNA from 1 species
GAUGAACGCUAGCUACAGGCUUAACACAUGCAAGUCGGAGGGGCAGCAUGGCGAUAGCUUGCUAUUGUCGAUGGCGACCGGCGCACGGGUGAGUAACGCGUAUCCAACCUUCCCGUCACUCGAGGGAUACGCCCGACCGAAAGGCGAAUUAAUACCUGAUGAUCUCCUUUGCGGACAUCUAAUGAGGAGUUAAAGGUUUUUCCGGUGACGGAUGGGGAUGCGUCUGAUUAGGUUGUUGGCGGGGUAACGGCCCACCAAGCCUUCGAUCAGUAGGGGUUCUGAGAGGAAGGUCCCCCACAUUGGAACUGAGACACGGUCCAAACUCC